rnacentral:rRNA from 1 species
AUUGAACGCUGGCGGCAGGCCUAACACAUGCAAGUCGAGCGGAUGAAGGGAGCUUGCUCCUGGAUUCAGCUGCGGACGGGUGAGUAAUGCCUAGGAAUCUGCCUGGUAGUGGGGGAUAACGUCCGGAAACGGGCGCUAAUACCGCAUACGUCCUGAUGGAGAACGUGGUGGAUCUUCGGACCUCACGCUAUCAGAUGAGCCUAGGUCGGAUUAGCUAGUUGGUGGGGUAAAGGCCUACCAAGGCGACGAUCCGUAACUGGUCUGAGAGGAUGAUCAGUCACACUGGAACUGAGACACGGUCCAGACUCCUACGGGAGGCAGCAGUGGGGAAUAUUGGACAAUGGGCGAAAGCCUGAUCCAGCCAUGCCGCGUGUGUGAAGAAGGUCUUCGGAUUGUAAAGCACUUUAAGUUGGGAGGAAGGGCAGUAAGUUAAUACCUUGCUGUUUUGACGUUACCAACAGAAUAAGCACCGGCUAACUUCGUG